rnacentral:rRNA from 1 species
GAAUCCACUGGGCGUAAAGGGUGGCGUAGGCGGUUUGGAAAGUCAGAUGUGAAAGCCUACAGCUAACUGUAGAACUGCAUUGAAACUUCCAGACUAGAAUACUGAAGGGGCAGAUGGAAUUAGUGGUGUAGGGGUAAAAUCCGUAGAUAUCACUAGGAAUACCGAAAGCGAAAGCGAUCUGCUGGGAAGUUAUUGACGCUGAGGCACGAAAGCGUGGGGAGCAAACGGGAUUAGAUACCCCGGUAGUCCACGCCCUAAACGAUGAAUGCUAGUCGUCGGAAAGCUCGUCUUUUCGGUGAUGCAGUUAACACAUUAAGCAUUCCGCCUGGGGAGUACGGUCGCAAGAUUAAAACUCAAAGGAAUAGACGGGGACCCGCACAAGUGGUGGAGCAUGUGGUUUAAUUCGAAGAUACGCGAAGAACCUUACCUAGCCUUGACAUUGAUAGAACAUUCUAGAGAUAGAGUGGUGCCUUUUCGGAGGAACUUGAAAACAGGUGCUGCACGGCUGUCGUCAGCUCGUGUCGUGAGAUGUUGGGUUAAGUCCCGCAACGAGCGCAACCCUCGUCGUUAGUUGCUAACAGUUCGGCUGAGCACUCUAGCGAGACUGCCUUCGCAAGGAGGAGGAAGGUGAGGACGACGUCAAGUCAUCAUGGCCCUUAUGGCUAGGGCUACACACGUGCUACAAUGGGGCGUACAGAGAGUUGCGAUACCGCGAGGUGGAGCUAAUCUCAUAAAGCGUCUCUCAGUUCGGAUUGUUCUCUGCAACUCGAGAGCAUGAAGCUGGAAUCACUAGUAAUCGUAGAUCAGCAAUGCUACGGUGAAUACGUUCCCGGGUCUUGUACUCACCGCCCGUCACACCAUGGGAGUUGAUUUCACCCGAAAUCGGGAAGCCAACCUUCGGGGGGCUACCGCUUACGGUGGAAUUAGCGACUGGGGUGAAGUCGUAACAAGGUAACC